rnacentral:rRNA from 1 species
GACGAACGCUGGCGGCGUGCUUAACACAUGCAAGUCGAACGGAAAGGCCCUGCUUUUGUGGGGUGCUCGAGUGGCGAACGGGUGAGUAACACGUGAGUAACCUGCCCUUGACUUUGGGAUAACUUCAGGAAACUGGGGCUAAUACCGGAUAGGAGCUCCUGCUGCAUGGUGGGGGUUGGAAAGUUUCGGCGGUUGGGGUUGGACUCGCGGCUUAUCAGCUGGUUGGUGGGGUAGUGGCUUACCAAGGCUUUGACGGGUAGCCGGCCUGAGAGGGUGACCGGCCACAUUGGGACUGAGAUACGGCCCAGACUCCUACGGGAGGCAGCAGUGGGGAAUAUUGCACAAUGGGCGGAAGCCUGAUGCAGCAACGCCGCGUGCGGGAUGACGGCCUUCGGGUUGUAAACCGCUUUCGCCUGUGACGAAGCGUGAGUGACGGUAAUGGGUAAAGAAGCACCGGCUAACUACGUG